rnacentral:tRNA from 1 species
GAUAUAGCUCAGUUGGUAGAGUGCUUGCCUUGCAUGCACAAGGACCUGGGUUCAAUCCCCAGCAUC